rnacentral:tRNA from 1 species
GCGCCGCUGGCCGACGGCGCGGGCUGGCGCGUCGCCAUCGGGGCGUGGGCCGCCGUGGCGGUCGUCGCGCUCGUGCCGUGGGUGGCGCU